GCGUUAGUAGUAUAACGGCCAGAUCCUUUGGAGGCAAAUAUCUCGCCCUUCCAAGGCGAGGAUCGGGGUUCAAAUCCCCGCUAACGCA
rnacentral:tRNA from 1 species